GACGAACGCUGGCGGCGUGCUUAACACAUGCAAGUCGAACGGUAAGGCCCUUUCGGGGGUACACGAGUGGCGAACGGGUGAGUAACACGUGGGUGAUCUGCCCUGCACUUUGGGAUAAGCCUGGGAAACUGGGUCUAAUACCGGAUAGGACUACGCGAUGCAUGUCGUGUGGUGGAAAGCUUUUGCGGUGUGGGAUGGGCCCGCGGCCUAUCAGCUUGUUGGUGGGGUGAUGGCCUACCAAGGCGACGACGGGUAGCCGGCCUGAGAGGGUGUCCGGCCACACGGGGAGUGAGUAAGGGCCAGACCCCCGCGGGGGGGAGCAGGGGGGAAUUUUGCAACAGGGGCCGAAGGCCUGAUGAGGCGCCGCGGGGGGGGGGAGGAGGGCUUUGGGUUUGAAACCCCUUUCCAGCACGGAGGAGGCGGAGGGGAGGGUAUGGGAAGAAGAGGCCCCGCCCACCUACGU
rnacentral:rRNA from 1 species